AUUGAACGCUGGCGGCAUGCCUUACACAUGCAAGUCGAACGGCAGCACGGGAGCAAUCCUGGUGGCGAGUGGCGAACGGGUGAGUAAUAUAUCGGAACGUGCCCGGUCGUGGGGGAUAACGUAGCGAAAGCUACGCUAAUACCGCAUACGAUCUACGGAUGAAAGCGGGGGGAUCGCAAGACCUCGCGCGAUUGGAGCGGCCGAUAUCAGAUUAGGUAGUUGGUGAGGUAAAGGCUCACCAAGCCGACGAUCUGUAGCUGGUCUGAGAGGACGACCAGCCACACUGGGACUGAGACACGGCCCAGACUCCUACGGGAGGCAGCAGUGGGGAAUUUUGGACAAUGGGCGCAAGCCUGAUCCAGCAAUGCCGCGUGCAGGAU
rnacentral:rRNA from 1 species